rnacentral:rRNA from 1 species
CUUCUCCCUUUCAUCUCACUCGUGUCUCAUUCGAUGCCGAAGAUUAACCCUUGUGCGAUCACGGCACUCGUUGACCGAUGGUGCCCUGAGACACAUACUUUUCACUUCUAUGCUGGGGAGAUGACGAUCACUUUGCAGGAUGUGUCUCUAAUCACUGGACUUCCCAUCAAAGGACAACCUAAUUAUUUUAGCACAGAUUCUGGAAGAUGGCGUGAGAUUAUGGUUGGACUCAUAGGGAGGGAGCCAGGGGUACAAGGGAAGUCCACCGGUGCAAGUUAUCAUUGGAUUGCUGAACACUUUGGGGAAUGUCCAGCUGAUGCGGACGAUGAAACAGUGCAGCAGUAUAUGAAGGCAUACUUGUGGUAUGUAGUCAGCCGGACUCUUUUCUCUGAUGGCACUGGCGUCAACGCUUCCUUUAUGUGGCUUAAGUUGUUUGCUGGUUGGGAGCAUGGACUCAGUUGGGGUACGGUGGCGUUGGCUUAUUUGUAUCAUUAG